CUCAGGAUUGAACGCUGGCGGCGUGCCUAAUACUGCAAGUUGAGCGAACUGAUUAGAAGCUUGCUUCUAUGACGUUAGACGGCGGACGGGUGAGUAACACGUGGGCAACCUGCCUGUAAGACUGGGAUAACUUCGGGAAACCGAAGCUAAUACCGGAUAGGAUCUUCUCCUUCAUGGGAGAUGAUUGAAAGAUGGUUUCGGCUAUCACUUACAGAUGGGCCCGCGGUGCAUUAGCUAGUUGGUGAGGUAACGGCUCACCAAGGCAACGAUGCAUAGCCGACCUGAGAGGGUGAUCGGCCACACUGGGACUGAGACACGGCCCAGACUCCUACGGGAGGCAGCAGUAGGGAAUCUUCCGCAAUGGACGAAAGUCUGACGGAGCAACGCCGCGUGAGUGAUGAAGGCUUUCGGGUCGUAAAACUCUGUUGUUAGGGAAGAACAAGUACAAGAGUAACUGCUUGUACCUUGACGGUACCUAACCAGAAAGCCACGGCUAACUACGUGCCAGCAGCCGCGGUAAUACGUAGGUGGCAAGCGUUAUCCGGAAUUAUUGGGCGUAAAGCGCGCGCAGGCGGUUUCUUAAGUCUGAUGUGAAAGCCCACGGCUCAACCUGUGGAGGGUCAUUGGAAACUGGGGAACUUGAGUGCAGAAGAGAAAAGCGGAAUUCCACGUGUAGCGGUGAAAUGCGUAGAGAUGUGGAGGAACACCAGUGGCGAAGGCGGCUUUUUUGGUCUGUAACUGACGCUGAGGCGCGAAAGCGUGGGGAGCAAACGGAUUAGAUCCCUA
rnacentral:rRNA from 2 species